UUUCCUCUUUCUUCCUAAUAAGUGAGUAUCUUGUUCCUCCCCUGGAUCACCGAGCACCAAGUCCUCCCUUUGCACCGCGUGGCGAGGAGGGCGAGUCGCCCAAUCUCUCUGCCCUUUGCGGCGCCGUCGUCGCUGCCAAACCCGGCCGCCUCCGCGCUGCAACGACCGCCGCGAAAAUCCGGCCGCCUCCGCGUCGUUGUUGCCGUAGCUGCGUGCCCCGGCGAGGUCGUCUCCGCAUCCUCCUCGCGCGAGGAUCCCGUCCCGAUCGCUAAGGACGGUAUACCGGUCCCUAGCAUUCCGGGAAAAAAAAAAUCUCAUCUCUCUUUGAGUUUUGACUACCUCUGUGUCGCGCUACCCCACACGGAGAGAGAGCAACGAGGGGAUGGGCGGCUACGAGAACGGCGACUCGCCGGCGGCCGCCGCCGGAGACGGCGGCGUCAUCCUGGGCGUCGACGGCGGCACCACUAACACCGUCUGCGUCUGCCUGCCGGUCGCAAUGCCGCCGCCGGAAUCGCCCGGCGCCGUCCCCGUCUUGUCCCGCGCCGUCGCCGGCUGCUCCAACCGCAACUCCGUCGGAGAAAGUGCUGCACUGGAAACUCUAGAACAGGUCAUGGCACAGGCCCUCACAUUGGUCAACACGGAUCGUUCAGCUGUCCGUGCAGUUUGUUUAGCUGUAUCUGGAGUUAACCAUCCUUCUGAUCAGCAGAGGAUGCUAGACUGGAUUCGAGAUCUCUUCCCUGGCCAUGUCAAGUUUUAUGUGGAAAAUGAUGCGGUGGCAGCUCUGGCCAGUGGUACAAUGGGAAAGCUACAUGGCUGUGUAUUGAUAGCGGGCACUGGAAGCAUAGCUUAUGGGGUCACUGAAGAUGGAAAGGUAGCAAGAGCAGCUGGUGCUGGACCUGUUUUGGGCGACUGGGGUAGUGGAUAUGGCAUUGCUGCACAGGCCCUGACAGCAGUCGUAAAAGCAUACGAUGGCCGUGGACCUCAUACUAAUCUUACAAGAGAGAUCCUUAGGAAGCUUGAGCUUUCUUCACCAGAUGAAUUGAUUGGGUGGACGUAUGCAGAUCCAUCUUGGGCCCGUAUUGCAGCACUUGUUCCUGUUGUGGUAUCUUCUGCUGAAGAUGGUGAUGAAGUAGCAAACAAAAUAUUGCAUGAUUCAGUGCAGGAGUUAGCUGAUAGUGUUGUUGCUGUUGUUCGGCGCCUUAAAUUGUGUGGUGAAGGUUCAUUGUCUACUAGUGCAUGGCACAAGUUGUUGCACUCUGCCACUCUGAAUGCAGGUUUUGGGUCAAGCCCAACCUAUUUCCAUGAUGCACUUGAUUUGACACAAAAGCACGCGUUUUUAGAGAUUAUAUGGAAUGGACCAAUUUCCGCUUGUUUUGGUUGGAGGUGUUCUCGAAGGCAACAAAAAAUGGAACAUUAGUGGUGAGGUUGUAAGAUGUAUUUCCAAAGUCUUCCCAGGCGUCCAUCCUAUUCGACCUGAGGUGGAACCAGCCAUUGGUGCAGCAUUACUAGCUUGGAACCAUCAUCGCAAAGGACUGAAACUGGAAAACGGAAGUUGAUCUCUAGCAUAUGGAAUUUAUUUCAACUGUAAAUUACAGAACUGAACAGCCAGAGGAUUAAUAAGAUUGGGAUGGUCACACAGGCACAUUCAUCAGCAUCAAGGUUGUUGCUGCGUGAAGAGCGUUAUGGAUGGAUGUGCUUUCUGUGAGUUGUGUAAGCGGGGAACAGAUGCAUUUCUUAUGUAAUUAGUUACCGUGUUCAAAGAAUUGUUCACGACAUUUGGUUCUAACUCUUGGUGACUUGUACGUGUGCUAUUAGAGAGUUCCAAGGAACAUGUCUGAAAUGAACAGGUCAUGUUAAAAUGUGUAUUUUUACCUGUUCGGUUACCUUGUAUCUGUAUUUGGUCGAAAUGCUGAAUUGAUUCAAUCGUCACCUGCAUUUAUUUGCUGACU